rnacentral:lncRNA from 1 species
GGGGCUCUGUGUGGGGGUGGUGGUAACUUCGACAGGAGCCAGAGUUCCAGGAGACAUGAGGGAACUCCAACUGUCCCAUGUAGGUGAAUUAUCACCACUGGGUCCUGGGGUUCAGACCUCAACUCAACUGGAGACUAGACUGUCUUUGUAUAGCCCAGGGUCCCACAGCACUGUUCAUUUUUUCAUUUGUGUGUGGUUCCCUCUGAAUGUGGUAGCUGCAGUCUUUUAAAAGCAUUUUAUUAUCAUGAGACAUAUGGUUCUUCCUCAAUCAGAGAAGACAGGUUGUACUGAACCUCCCCUCAGAGCGUCUGAAAGCACCAACCUCUCACUUCCUUCACUUAUCUUUCACUUUUCCGAUUCUCCUUUGGCUCGGAGCACUAUCUGAAUGCCAUCAAGUGGGUGUGCUUCCCUUGUGCUUCUGAUAGUCCCUUAACUGAAGAAUCCUUGCUCUGCCUUUAUUGUGUGGUAGAUAGUGGCAGUCCUGUGAAGAACUCCAUGAACCUUCUUAAACUGUGAGCCAAAGGCAGCCAGCUCUUCCUCCUAUAAAACUUCCUCAGAGUAUUUUUUUUCACAGCAGCAAAAGAACAACUAAAACCCGUUGCAAAUCAUGUAGUAAAAGAACUUUUAAAAACGUUAAAGAUCCCAAAGCAGCUCCAGCUAGCAGAGUUUUCAAAGAGGCUGAGCUAAUGGAAUAUGAAGUGGAGGAAAAUUCAUCUCUUUUAUCUGAAUGAAGCUAAACGGCACUGGAAUAUGCAGGAUUAUACUUAGAGCCAUGCACUUAAGUGGAUCUCUGUAAGUUCAAGGCCUACCUGGUCCUGAAUAGCCAGAGCUACGUAGUAAGACCCUGUCUUAAAAAGAAACAAACAAAUAAAUAAAACAAAACAGCAAACCCACCCACCUCUGCAGUCCUGGGGAUUCAGUGUUUUCUUUUGACCUCCUCAGGCACCAAGCACACAGUGGUGCACACAGAUACAUGCAGGCAAAACACCCCUAACAUAAAAUUGAAUCUUAAAAAUACAACAAAAUUUGAAAAGUCAGAAAGUAUUCUAUUGUUAAAUCAAAUGGAUGGUCUGUUUGAAAGUACAUUACAUAUAUUGUGGAUGUCUAUAAAAGGAGUUAAUAAAUGUAUUUGGAUUAUAGAUGGAAUAUAGAAGAGAAAUUAGUUGUAGUAAGGUCUUACAUUAAAGUUGUGUCUAAAUGGAUGAAAUGUGUCAAAUGGACUUCCUAUUUCAUUGAUGCAGUAUUUGAAGCUGCUCAUAGGAACAUUCGGCAUCCUAGGCCAGACACCUCCCUUGGGUGACAGAUGUAGGGACUCAUACAUAAAUUUAAGAUUACAGUUGGUGGAUGAGUUGGAAUGAAAAAUGUUUUUAAAUUGCUUAUUUCUAAAGUUAGUUUGCAGUUACAUUUAUUUCUAUUUGAUAUAAAAGAUGACAUGUUAGGGCGAUAUCACGAUUAUGCAGUAUAUAUUGAAAGCUGCAGAAAACUUACUGCUCUUCAUUUUUUACCAUGUACACAUACAUACCUCUGUCAUAAUGACAGUUACAGUCAUUACACAGGAACCAGUCCACAUAUGGUGGUUUCACCCUUGUCGUACAGUGAAAGCUUUAAAAGGGAGUUGGUUAUUAGGAUAUUCAUAUUUCAGUUUAGAUGGAGAUGGAGGAAAAGAUCCUUGGGCAGAUGAUAGAAAAUAAUUUCUUGAUUUGUACCUAAUGGUUAUUUUUGUUUUGGAACAGGGUUUUACUAUGUAACUUUGUCUAGACUGACAUCCCCUCUGUAGACCACCACUGUGCCCAAGUUCUAGGCUUUUUUUUUUUUUUUAAAUGAAAUAUAACAGACUUUGGAUAGGUGCUACUUUGCAGUUUUUAGUUGCUUCUUUCUUUGGUGUGGGAGUUUGUAUAAGUAGGCAUAUGAGUGAGGAGUACAAGGUUGGAAACAGUGUGUCUUCAUGUUGGAAAGCUACUGCCAUAGGUGGACAACUCUGGAGAAUGUUGUGUUCUGUUGCAGUCUGAAAAGCAGUGGGCUUUCAAUCCACAUGUCACUAGUAAUCUCACAAAAGAAAAAUUCCCUCAAGAUAAAAUGAAGUACUCCCCUAGACUUAAUAGGUAGAUCGGUGACUCCAUCAGUUUUUGUCAAAUAUGCAGCACCAUUCUUUUUUUCCCAAACCCCUCUUUCUUGUCUAGUAUGUAAUGGUUAAAUUGUAUUGUUCAGGGACUAGAGAGAUGGCUCGUGGUCAGGAGCACAUACUGCUCCUACAGAGGACCUGCGCUCUGUUCCCAGUUCUUGCCUCCGGUGGCUCCCAACUGCCUAUAACUCCAGCUUCAGUGGUCUCAUAGGCACUGCUUGUGUGUGUACAUCCUCCAGCCUCGCCUAUAUAAUUAGUUACAAAAUUAAACUAAAUCUUAAAGCUUUCCUUUAAAAUUAUGUAGUUCCCCCCAAAUCCUAAGAUGUAAGUAUCUGGGAAGAAUUUGGCGAUCACCUUUCUGGUUUUUAAAUGCUCUUUAGUAGUACAUAUGCUUCAUUGUGACAUUUUCAUGCAUGUGUAUAAUGCAUUCACUUAUUACACUUUCUUGUCCUCAGUUACUUUUUUAAAAAAAAUGCUUAUUUCUCUUUUCCCUUCAUUCCUUUAUCGUCAUGAAUUUUCCAGGUCUGUUUUUUUCUUCUCAUGUUAGUGUUAUGACCAACAUCUGACAUUAAACCACUCAAGGGCAGAGAGAUUUGUUUUGCUUACAGUUUCAGUGUGUUGUGGGACUGCUGGAGCCGCUCUCCUCAGGUCAGAGGUCAGAGGAAGUAGAAGGGAGUGUGGGGACAGAGAUGAGGCAGAACCUCAGUUGCAUGCCUUCUUCCUUCUUCAAUCUUCUCAAAACAGCUCUGUUGACUGGGACCAACCAUCCAAACUGUGAUGCUGUGGCGUCCAAAGUACAUACACACACACACACACACACACACACACACACAUGCAUACCUACACACAAACACACAUAUGUGACAUAUGUGUGUGUAUAUAUAUAUAUAUAUAUAUAUAUAUAUAUAUAUAUAUAUGCCAAAAUGCUUCUUGUCUUCUCAUAUAGUUUUUGCUUGUUGAUAUUUCUAUGAUACAAAUAUCAUCCCAGCAUUGCUGUAGGAGCUUAAAGAAAAGAAAAAGAAAGAAAGGAAGGAAGAAAUGAAACGAAAAAAUAGAAAAAGCCCAAAUUAAGUUUUAGCCUAUGUCUUUCUAGCAGAUAUUUGGUCUAAUUGUGUUUUCACACCUUCUGGAUCUAUUUUCAAGAAGACAAGAAAUAUUAAGUUUCCUGGGAAGCAAGCUGUUUUUAAGUUUUCAGUUGAAGGAAUUUCAUGAUU